GACGAACCGUGCGAACGUUAUUCGGAAUCACUGGGCUUAAAGCGCGUGUAGGCGGGAGGGCACGUCCGUUGCUGAAAUCCCCCGGCUCAACCGGGGAACGGGCGCGGAUACGACUCUCCUUGAGGGGCGUAGGGGGACCUGGAACUUCCGGUGGAGCGGUGAAAUGCGUUGAGAUCGGAAGGAACGCCCGUGGCGAAAGCGAGGUCCUGGACGCCUACUGACGCUGAGACGCGAAAGCCAGGGGAGCAAACGGG
rnacentral:rRNA from 1 species